AUGAGAGAGGCAUGGACUCGUGUGAAACCAGCUAGAGACCCUAACCGCAUUAGAGCUUUUCUUCAGACCUACAAGGAAAUUAAAAAUUGGAUGCACUGGAAGUCGGCGGGGCAGAUCUUGCCGCAGUUGUUCAGGAUGAGGCUAAGGUCGAUGGGGACGUUGAGGUGGAUCCCGAGCACGUUGGCCUUGAUGGCGGUGCAAAGGCAGACGGCGGCGUCCAGGUUGACGAGCCCGUCGAGGAGCGAGCAGCAGGGCUCCGUUGGCGGCACGCCGAUCUUGGCCUUCACCAGGUUCAGCACGUUGGCACACACGUGCAGCUUGAGCGCGUUCUGGGGGCACGACCCGUAG
rnacentral:rRNA from 1 species